rnacentral:rRNA from 1 species
GACGAACGCUGGCGGCGUGCUUAACACAUGCAAGUCGAACGAAAAGGCCCUGCUUUUGUGGGGUGCUCGAGUGGCGAACGGGUGAGUAACACGUGAGUAACCUGCCCUUGACUUUGGGAUAACUUCAGGAAACUGGGGCUAAUACCGGAUAGGAGCUCCUGCUGCAUGGUGGGGGUUGGAAAGUUUCGGCGGUUGGGGAUGGACUCGCGGCUUAUCAGCUUGUUGGUGGGGUAGUGGCUUACUAAGGCUUUGACGGGUAGCCGGCCUGAGAGGGUGACCGGCCACAUUGGGACUGAGAUACGGCCCAGACUCCUACGGGAGGCAGCAGUGGGGAAUAUUGCACAAUGGGCGGAAGCCUGAUGCAGCAACGCCGCGUGCGGGAUGACGGCCUUCGGGUUGUAAACCGCUUUCGCCUGUGACGAAGCGUGAGUGACGGUAAUGGGUAAAGAAGCACCGGCUAACUACGUG